rnacentral:lncRNA from 1 species
CCGCCACUCACAAAUGCAGGUGCCGAGCCAGACAGCAGGUGCGUGACCAAGGAAGAGGAGACCCACCCUGUGUAUGUCAUGCUAAUUGUGACACUUUCCGGGUCACAGUGCAGCCAGCAAUACUGUCCCUCUGUGCCCUUUGUAUUCCUGGAGGAAGGAGCUUCUCAGGCUGGCGACUUCUGCGGCUGUCCUGCCCUCUGCUGGCCAGCGAGGCUGACGCACCGCGGAGCUCCACACGUCCAGGAUGACGCCAACUGCUUACCACUAGGGAAGACUUAACUUCUCAAGACUAUUACAUUUUAAAACAGAGACUCAGUCGUUUUCUGACCAGCAUCUGUAAUGGCUCCGUGAACUCUCUCAUGCCGGAGGCCCUUCAGUCUCAUGCGUUCUGGCUGAAGUGAAGAUGGAGACGUGGAGUAGGAAUGUCACGUGACACAAGCUGCAUGGGAGAUAUCUACAAGAACAGAAGGUAAAAAGAUCAAGUCUUGUCCGUGGUUAUGAGCCAGUGAGCGCAAGACUAUAUCUCAGACCAGUUCUACUGAGCGCCCCUAAACGCCUCCUUUCUGGUUUUUCCUUUUCCAUCAUGACCUCUUCCCUUUUUACGGGGUUCCAAGUUUUUAAA